UUGGGAGCGGCUAGAGAACGUCACUACAGUAUUCUGCAUGUUAUUCACCAGUUAUUUUUCCUUUCACGUCUGUUAUGCUGAAAGAUUGUAGUCUACUUUGGAAUUCGUUCAAAGGGCACUUUUGGUAUUAACCCAGACCAUGGAAGCAAGGCUGAAAAAAAGCAAGGAAAGAGAACCCAAAAAUAUUCAGUUUGACGAAAAAAUCAUGGAUUCUGAAUGGAAUGUUUACAUUUUUGAACACCUAAAAAAGUACAAGAUGAAUCAAACUGCUACAAAGAGAUUAUGAUAAAGUUAUUUAUUGUGCCUGGAAUGGACAUAUGCCAAAUGCAGAAUCCAGGUGUGUGGAGAACUUUAAUAAAUAGCAGUAUUGCCCAUUUCCA